AGAGCUAAAAUCAAGUAAAUUUUAUUAAUUACUUUACUUUUAAAUCCACCUUAAAAUUAUUAUUUCAAAUAAUUUAACGUAUAAAUAAAUUUAUUGUAACCCAUCUCUACUAAAAUAUAAACUGCACCUUGACCUGACAUCAACUAUAAUUAUAGAUUAAGAAAAUUAUUCCUCUUUUAAGAUAUUCUGAUAACGGCGAUAUACAAAUUGUAAACAAAUCUUAGUAAGGUCCAACGUGGAUUAUCGAUUAUAGGACAGGUUCCUCUAAAUAGACUAAAACACCGCCAAAUUUUUUAAGUUUGAAGAUUAUAUCUAUUACUACUCAAGUAUUUAAAUUUACAUUUUAAAUAAUAGGGUAUCUAAUCCUAGUUUAUUAUUAAAAUUUUCUAGCUUCAUUAAAUUCAAAUAUAAAAUUAAUUAAAUUUAAAAUUUCACUUAAAAAAUUUAAUUUAAUUUUAUUUAUAAAUUACAAAUUAACUAUUACUAAUAAAUUUUAUUUGUAUUAUUUG
rnacentral:rRNA from 1 species